GACGAAGGAUGCAAGCGUUAUCCGGAUUCAUUGGGUUUAAAGGGAGCGUAGGUGGCCUUAUAAGUCAGUGGUGAAAUCUCUGGGCUUAACCCAGAAAUUGCCAUUGAUACUGUAGGGCUUGAGUAUAGUUGCCGUUGGCGGAAUAUGACAUGUAGUGGUGAAAUACAUAGAGAUGUCAUAGAACACCGAUUGCGAAGGCAGCUGACGAAACUAUAACUGACACUGAGGCUCGAAAGUGCGGGGAUCAAACAGG
rnacentral:rRNA from 3 species